CCUGGGCGCUGCUUACCAUGCAAGUCGAACGGAGAUUCAGCAAUGGAUCUUAGUGGCGAACGGGUGAGUAACGCGUAGGCAAUCUGCCUUCUAGAUGGGGACAACAUCCCGAAAGGGGUGCUAAUACCGAAUGUUGUAAUUGGUUCGCAUGGACUAGCUACUAAAGGUGGCCUCUGAAUAUGCUACCGCUAGAAGAUGAGCCUGCGUCUGAUUAGCUAGUUGGAGGGGUAACGGCCCACCAAGGCUUCGAUCAGUAGCCGGUCUGAGAGGAUGAACGGCCACACUGGGACUGAGACACGGCCCAGACUCCUACGGGAGGCAGCAGUGGGGAAUCUUCCGCAAUGGACGAAAGUCUGACGGAGCAACGCCGCGUGAGUGAAGAAGGUUUUCGGAUCGUAAAGCUCUUUCGUUAGGGACGAACGUGCUCUUUGUGAAUAAUGAGGAGUAAUGACGGUACCUAAAUAAGAAGCCACGGCUAACUACGUGCCAGCAGCCGCGGUAAUACGUAGGUGGCAAGCGUUGUCCGGAAUUAUUGGGCGUAAAGCGCGCGCAGGCGGGAUAUCAAGUCUGUCUUAAAAGUGCGAGGCUCAACCUCGUGAGGGGACGGAAACUGGUAUUCUUGAGUGUCGGAGAGGAAAGUGGAAUUCCAAGUGUAGCGGUGAAAUGCGUAGAGAUUUGGAAGAACACCAGUGGCGAAGGCGACUUUCUGGACGAUGUCUGACGCUGAGGCGCGAAAGCUAGGGGAGCGAACGGGAUUAGAUACCCCGGUAGUCCUAGCCGUAAACGAUGGGUACUAAGGUGUAGGGGGUAUCGACCCCUC
rnacentral:rRNA from 1 species